UUUCCGUAGGUGAACCUGCGGAAGGAUCAUUAUCGUACAAAAUGUGAGGGGCAUGCGAGGGCUGUCGCUGACUCAAAAGUCGUGCACGCCCGAGCGUGUCCUCUUGCAUAAUAAUCCAUCUCACCCUUUGUGCAUCACCGCGUGGGCACCCUUCGGGAUCAUCUCGGAGGGGGGCUCGCGUUUUCACACAAACCCCCCUUUUAAAAGUGUAGAAUGACCACAUUUAUGCAAUCAAUACAACUUUCAACAACGGAUCUCUUGGCUCUCGCAUCGAUGAAAACGCAGC
rnacentral:misc_RNA from 1 species